rnacentral:rRNA from 1 species
UGAGGAAUAUUGGUCAAUGGGCGAGAGCCUGAACCAGCCAAGUCGCGUGAAGGAUGAAGGUUCUAUGGAUUGUAAACUUCUUUUAUAGGGGAAUAAAGUGCGGGACGUGUCCUGUUUUGUAUGUACCCUACGAAUAAGCAUCGGCUAACUCCGUGCCAGCAGCCGCGGUAAUACGGAGGAUGCGAGCGUUAUCCGGAUUUAUUGGGUUUAAAGGGUGCGUAGGUGGAUAGGUAAGUCAGCGGUGAAAGUUUGUGGCUCAACCAUAAAAUUGCCGUUGAAACUGUUUAUCUUGAGUAUGUUUGAGGUAUGCGGAAUGCGUGGUGUAGCGGUGAAAUGCAUAGAUAUCACGCAGAACUCCGAUUGCGAAGGCAGCAUACUAAACCAUCACUGACACUGAAGCACGAAAGCGUGGGUAUCAAACAGG